rnacentral:rRNA from 1 species
AUUGAACGCUGGCGGCAUGCCUUACACAUGCAAGUCGAACGGCAGCACGGGGGCAACCCUGGUGGCGAGUGGCGAACGGGUGAGUAACAUAUCGGAACAUACCCUAGAGUGGGGGAUAACGUAGCGAAAGUUACGCUAAUACCGCAUACGAUCUAAGGAUGAAAGUGGGGGAUCUUCGGACCUCAUGCUCAUGGAGUGGCCGAUAUCUGAUUAGCUAGUUGGUGAGGUAAAGGCUCACCAAGGCGACGAUCAGUAGCUGGUUUGAGAGAACGACCAGCCACACUGGAACUGAGACACGGUCCAGACUCCUACGGGAGGCAGCAGUGGGGAAUUUUGGACAAUGGGGGCAACCCUGAUCCAGCAAUGCCGCGUGAGUGAAGAAGGCCUCGGGUUGUAAAG